GAUGAACGCUGGCGGCGUGCCUAAUACAUGCAAGUCGAGCGAACGGACGAGAAGCUUGCUUUUCUGAUGUUAGCGGCGGACGGGUGAGUAACACGUGGAUAACCUACCUAUAAGACUGGGAUAACUUCGGGAAACCGGAGCUAAUACCGGAUAAUAUUUUGAACCGCAUGGUUCAAAAGUGAAAGACGGUCUUGCUGUCACUUAUAGAUGGAUCCGCGCUGCAUUAGCUAGUUGGUAAGGUAACGGCUUACCAAGGCAACGAUGCAUAGCCGACCUGAGAGGGUGAUCGGCCACACUGGAACUGAGACACGGUCAAGACUCCUACGGGAGGCAGCAGUAGGGAAUCUUCCGCAAUGGGCGAAAGCCUGACGGAGCAACGCCGCGUGAGUGAUGAAGGUCUUCGGAUCGUAAAAAUCUGUUAUUAGGGAAGAACAUAUGUGUAAGUAACUGUGCACAUAUUGACGGUACCUAAUCAGAAAGCCACGGCUAACUACGUG
rnacentral:rRNA from 1 species